rnacentral:lncRNA from 1 species
AGAUCAGGAACCGCCGCAGUCCCGCUCGCCUCCCUGCUUGCCUGUCCCCCUUUCUUUAUUUCUCGCGCCCCUCGCCAAGGGUCCUCCAUUUCUCCAAACCGGAUUAUUUAAAAGAGUAAAAGAAAGAAAGAAAGAAAAAAGUCCAUCUCAUUGCUCUAACCGCCAUUCAGGAGGCUGGAUGUCAGUUUUGAAAGAAACGGCGCUAUUCUCCACUUCUAGAUUUGGGAAACGAGCGAAAUUAAAGAAAAUUGCUGCGACAUCUGGACACUGAGUGGCGCUGGCGCCGCUGGAGCAGCGGGCACAGCGCCGGACCAGGUGAGAAAACUGAGGCCUAGAGGAACUCAUAUCUUGGAUACUUUAUGGCCAGCAGGUGCCAGGACUGGAAUCACUAAGAGGGUCUUUGAACUACAAGUCUUGUGCUCUUUCUGUUUUACUAAAGACCAGAGUCAAUAGGGAGUGAGCUAUUGAUGGGUCAUUUGUGCAGACAGAAGAUCACUGAAUAUUGGAGCUUUUCUUUGUUCUCUUCCUUUGGCCUAAAAACUGACUCAGAGAAUGGAGGAAAAUGAUUUUCUGUUUUUUAAAAUGAUUUUCUAUUUUGGAUCAGCAAAUUCAUCCCUCAGGCAGAGACAGGAGAGGGCAUUUUUUUUUAAACAUUCCUUGUCUGUGCCACCCCACCCAACCUCCAGCCCUGACAUUCCAGGACAUUGGCUUUUUCCUUCAGAUAUCCCUUGAUUAUCAAAAUUCUGUGAGAAAUUUCCUUAAAUAUUGCACAUGCUCAAACUGAAAGCUCCAAAGGUAUAAGACAAAAGACACUGUAAGAUAAAUAAACUAUUAUUUGGACAUAUAUAACAAAACAUCAACCUCUAGAAUAUGUAAAUAAAUACAUAAAUGAGAAAAAAAUACCUUUUGGAAAAAUUAGCAAAUAAUAUGAUGGCUAAGUGAUAUACAAAUAGUCAAAUGGCCAAAAUUAGGAAAAUAUAUUGUUUUACUCAUUAGUAAAGAAAUGUAACAAAAAAUGCUGACAUAUACCUAUAUGUGUGGCAAAAAUAAAAGGAGUGAUAACAUUAGCAAAGUUGUGAGAAAAUAAUCAUUCUUAUAUACUAUUGUAACUUGGGGCAUUCAUUUUGAGAGGCAACUUUGCAGUACUUAUCAAAACUGUAUGUGCGUAUACAUACCCUUUGACUCAGCAAUUCCACUCCUAGAACCUACAUAAUUAUGCAAAUAUAUACACACAUAAAUAUAUGUAUGGAAAUAUAUAUUAUAUAUGCAGUGUGUGCAUAUAUAUAUGUAUAGCAAUGAAUAUUACAUAUGUAUGCAUGUAUGCAUUACCCUUCGACUCAGCAAUUCCACUCCUAUAAGUGGAAUUAUGUAAGUAUGAAAACAUGCCCCUGACUCUGUGGGCAGAGCAGAGGUUUGGAAACCAAAUUUCUGAAAUAGAACCUUUCAUGUCUCUGUU